UGGGGAGCGAACAGGAUUAGAUACCCUGGUAGUCCACGCCGUAAACGUUGUCAACUUGUUGUGGGGGAUUUAGCCCCUUCCGUGACGAAGCUAACGCAUUAAGUUGACCGCCUGGGGACUACGGCCGCAAGGCUAAAACUCAAAGGAAUUGACGGGGACCCGCACAAGCGGUGGAGCAUGUGGCUUAAUUCGAGGCAACGCGAAGAACCUUACCUGGGCUUGACAUAUAUUUGACCGCCAUGGAAACAUGGUUUUUCUUCGGAACAGAUAUACAGGUGCUGCAUGGCUGUCGUCAGCUCGUGCUGUGAAGUGUUCGGUUAAGUCCGGCAACGAGCGCAACCCACGUCAUUAGUUACCAUCAGGUGAAGCUGGGGACUCUAAUGAGACUGCCUGUGUUAAGCAGGAGGAAGGCGUGGAUGACGUCAAGUCAGUAUGGCCCUUAUGUCCAGGGCUGCACACGUGCUACAAUGGCUACUACAGAGGGAAGCGAUACCGCGAGGUGGAGCAAAUCCGUAAAAGUAGUCCAAGUUCGGAUUGGAGUCUGCAACUCGACUCCAUGAAGUCGGAAUCGCUAGUAAAGGCGUAUCAGCUACGACGCCUUGAAUACGUUCCCGGGUCUUGUACACACCGCCCGUCACAUCAUGGAAGUUGAUUGCACCCGAAGUCGUUGACCCAACUCCUUUCGGAGAGGGAUGCGCCGAAGGUGU
rnacentral:rRNA from 1 species